GUCGUGUUCGUCUAGCCGGCCCAGGACAGCGUGUUUUCAACUCGCCAACGGGGGUUCGAAUCCCCCACACGACGCCA
rnacentral:tRNA from 1 species